GGUAGCAUAAUCACUUGUCCCCUAAAUAGGGACUAGCAUGAACGGCUAAAUGAGGAUUACACUGUCUCUUGUAGUUGACCAAUGAAACUGAUCUUGUAGUCCAAAAGCUACAAUAAAAACACCAGACGAGAAGACCCUGUGGAGCUUCAAACCAAAACCAAAUUAAUGGCCCCUUGGUUUUUAGUUGGGGUAACUUCGGAGUAUACACCAACCUCCGACAAAAUAGCUAAGACAAACAAGUCUAAACAAUUUACUCGACCCAAUAGUUUACAACAAACUACUUGACCAAUGAACCAAGUUACCCCAGGGAUAACAGCGCUAUCCCCUUUUAGAGUCCCUAUCGACAAGGGGGCUUACGACCUCGAUGUUGGAUCAGGACACCCCAAUAAUGCAGCCGUUACUAAAGGUUCGUUUGUUCAACGAUUAAAGUCCU
rnacentral:rRNA from 1 species